rnacentral:rRNA from 1 species
GACGAGCGCUGGCGGCGUGCUUAACACAUGCAAGUCGAACGGAAAGGCCCUGCUUGCAGGGUACUCGAGUGGCGAACGGGUGAGUAACACGUGGGUGAUCUGCCCUGCACUUCGGGAUAAGCUUGGGAAACUGGGUCUAAUACCGGAUAGGAGCCAUCUUUAGUGUGGUGGUUGGAAAGUUUUUUCGGUGUAGGAUGAGCUCGCGGCCUAUCAGCUUGUUGGUGGGGUAAUGGCCUACCAAGGCGGCGACGGGUAGCCGGCCUGAGAGGGUGUACGGCCACAUUGGGACUGAGAUACGGCCCAGACUCCUAUGGGAGGCAGCAGUGGGGAAUAUUGCACAAUGGGCGCAAGCCUGAUGCAGCGACGCCGCGUGGGGGAUGAAGGCCUUCGGGUUGUAAACUCCUUUCGCUAGGGACGAAGCUUUUUUGUGACGGUACCUAGAUAAGAAGCACCGGCUAACUACGUG